rnacentral:rRNA from 1 species
AUUGAACGCUGGCGGCAGGCUUAACACAUGCAAGUCGAGCGGGGGAAGGUAGCUUGCUACCGGACCUAGCGGCGGACGGGUGAGUAAUGCUUAGGAAUCUGCCUAUUAGUGGGGGACAACAUCUCGAAAGGGAUGCUAAUACCGCAUACGUCCUACGGGAGAAAGCAGGGGAUCUUCGGACCUUGCGCUAAUAGAUGAGCCUAAGUCGGAUUAGCUAGUUGGUGGGGUAAAGGCCUACCAAGGCGACGAUCUGUAGCGGGUCUGAGAGGAUGAUCCGCCACACUGGGACUGAGACACGGCCCAGACUCCUACGGGAGGCAGCAGUGGGGAAUAUUGGACAAUGGGGGGAACCCUGAUCCAGCCAUGCCGCGUGUGUGAAGAAGGCCUUAUGGUUGUAAAGCACUUUAAGCGAGGAGGAGGCUACUCUAGUUAAUACCUAGGGAUAGUGGACGUUACUCGCAGAGUAAGCACCGGCUAACUCUGUGCCAGCCGCCGCAGUAA